AAAAUUAAUUGAGCGCCCUAUUGCUAGGGCGCUCUCAUGGGAGAGGAGAAACCGGACGAAGAGCUUAUGGGGAAACGUAAGUCUUCUCCGCGG
rfam:Paenibacillus sp. 11 genome assembly, contig: Ga0139009_101